CAGCCGCCGCGGGAAUACGUAGGUCCCGAGCGUUGUCCGGAUUUAUUGGGCGUAAAGCGAGCGCAGGCGGUUAGAUAAGUCUGAAGUUAAAGGCUGUGGCUUAACCAUAGUACGCUUUGGAAACUGUUUAACUUGAGUGCAAGAGGGGAGAGUGGAAUUCCAUGUGUAGCGGUGAAAUGCGUAGAUAUAUGGAGGAACACCGGUGGCGAAAGCGGCUCUCUGGCUUGUAACUGACGCUGAGGCUCGAAAGCGUGGGGCGCAAACAGGAUUAGAUACCCCGGUAGUCCCUGUCUCUUAUACA
rnacentral:rRNA from 1 species